rnacentral:rRNA from 1 species
UGGGGAAUAUUGCACAAUGGGCGCAAGCCUGAUGCAGCCAUGCCGCGUGUAUGAAGAAGGCCUUCGGGUUGUAAAGUACUUUCAGCGAGGAGGAAGGCAUUAAGGUUAAUAACCUUAGUGAUUGACGUUACUCGCAGAAGAAGCACCGGCUAACUCCGUGCCAGCAGCCGCGGUAAUACGGAGGGUGCAAGCGUUAAUCGGAAUUACUGGGCGUAAAGCGCACGCAGGCGGUCUGUUAAGUCAGAUGUGAAAUCCCGGCUC